UUUAAUAUUUAAACUAAGAAACUAAAUCAGGCACAUAACAUGGGUCUCUCAAAAACUUGAAGAAGUCCUGCAAAUCCAUUCACAUGUUUUCCUCCACAGACUCGACUCAAGACCAUUUGUGCAGACCAGGCUGUUGAAUUUCUAUGCGAAAUAUGAAGAGAUUGGGUGUGCAUGUGGGGGUGUUUGAUGAAAUUCCUAAGAGGAAUUUGAUCGUGUGGAGUGCAAUGAUUUGUGCGACUCAAUCAUUUCAAAAUCUGAGAACUUUGAAUUAAAAACUCCUUGGGAAGUUUUGAUAAUAAUCAAAUAGUCUACAAGAAGCCAACCAAUUAGUGGCCUGCAAAAGCAACAGUUUGCUCAAAACAGAGAUGAUCUGUGUAGCUCAUCAUGAUGCCCUAGCUUAAUGGUCCUGUGGGUCCUGAUAAUUAUCUUCCAUGUGUGGUAGGAUUCCUUGAUUGAUUGAUUCAAAGACAUUUGAUUCUCAGGUUCAUGUUGUCCAUGAUGCCCUGGCUUAACGGUUGUUGUUUUCUUGCAUCAAUGAAGAGCUUGAUCAAAUAAAGAAAGUGAAAAAUGGAUGAAGAUGGUCAGGUCAUGCAAGUGGACUGUUCACUCAUUUGAAGGUGGGCCCCACAAUCACAGCCCUUCCAAACAGCCCCUCAAUCACCCAUUUAAAUUGCGGUGCACUGUUUGGGGAUAUAUUUAUCUUUUCUUCUGUACCAUUGCAGUUAGAGAUCUUCCUUAGCUCAGGAACUGUUUGCCUCUCUAUUUAUUAUUCAUUGGUUGCCGGGAUCUUUGGCUUGAAUCUCCCAUAUACAUGGAAUCUAAACCCUGGAUAUCUAUUUAAAUGGGUACAUUUUCUCUUCCCUUUUUUCUUUUUUCUUUCAAAUAGACAAUCUAUGCUUGACCAAGCACAUGUUGUUUUCAUAUACACUAACAUUCCUCCCUUCAGGAAUUGACUCUGCUUCCCAACUACUACAUUGAGGAUAAGAUGUGGCUGGUGAAAUUCUACAUCAAGGUUAGAGAAAACCUAGUUAGCCCAGGGUUGUCAGUGGGCUCGUCAUAGCCUCCAGCUAGUUCAAAAUCUGGGCUUAAACCAACCCAGUUCAGAUGAUCUGCCAUUAAAGCAGUUAACUAUCAGGAGGGGUCUCGCCCCUAUAUUUGACAAUAUGAACAGGGGAUGUACAAUCCACACACAUUCAGGUGAGCACCACAAGAAUGUCGGGCCUCACAAUUAGGUGUUGCUGCAACUUCGUUUAAAGCAAGCCGUUUCAUAUUUCUGAGAAGUUUAAAUCAGACUUGAUGAAGAUAGCUAUGACCACUUUGAGUUCAAAAAUACUUUCCCAGGACAAGGAGCAUUUUGCUAAACUAGCUGUAGAUGUUGUCAUGAGACUCAAGGUAAGUAUUCGACUGAACUUUUUAGAUGGUAUACCAUGCUGGUAACAAUUCAUGCCAUGGUACACCAUGCUAAACUGAAUUAGAAUGCACUACUUAACUAGAAUUUAAUGUUAUUUGACAAUUUGAUUUCCCAUCACCUCUUUGCUACAACAGUUGCC